rnacentral:rRNA from 1 species
AUUGAACGCUGGCGGAAUGCUUUACACAUGCAAGUCGAACGGCAGCACGGACUUCGGUCUGGUGGCGAGUGGCGAACGGGUGAGUAAUACAUCGGAACGUGCCCAGUCGUGGGGGAUAACGUAGCGAAAGCUACGCUAAUACCGUAUACGAUCUAAGGAUGAAAGCGGGGGAUCGCAAGACCUCGCGCGAUUGGAGCGGCCGAUGGCAGAUUAGCUAGUUGGUGAGGUAAAGGCUAACCAAGGCGACGAUCUGUAGCGGGUCUGAGAGGAUGAUCCGCCACACUGGGAAUGAGACACGGCCCAGACUCCUACGGGAGGCAGCAGUGGGGAAUUUUGGACAAUGGGGGCAACCCUGAUCCAGCCAUGCCGCGUGAGUGAAGAAGGCCUUCGGGUUGUAAAGCUCUUUCGGCCGGGAAGAAAUCGCACAGGCUAAUACUCUGUGUGGAUGACGGUACCGGCAUAAGAAGCACCGGCUAACUACGUGCCAGCAGCCGCCGCAG